GACGAACGCUGGCGGCGUGCUUAACACAUGCAAGUCGAACGGAAAGGCCCUGCUUUUGUGGGGUGCUCGAGUGACGAACGGGUGAGUAACACGUGAGUAACCUGCCCUUGACUUUGGGAUAACUUCAGGAAACUGGGGCUAAUACCGGAUAGGAGCUCCUGCUGCAUGGUGGGGGUUGGAAAGUUUCGGCGGUUGGGGAUGGACUCGCGGCUUAUCAGCUUGUUGGUGGGGUAGUGGCUUACCAAGGCUUUGACGGGUAGCCGGCCUGAGAGGGUGACCGGCCACAUUGGGACUGAGAGACGGCCCAGACUCCUACGGGAGGCAGCAGUGGGGAAUAUUGCACAAUGGGCGGAAGCCUGAUGCAGCAACGCCGCGUGCGGGAUGACGGCCUUCGGGUUGUAAACCGAUUUCGCCUGUGACGAAGCGUGAGUGACGGUAAUGGGUAAAGAAGCACCGGCUAACUACGUG
rnacentral:rRNA from 1 species